ensembl:lncRNA
GUUAGAGGAGGCAGGUAGUCUAGUGGUUAGAGUGUAGAGGAGGCAGGUAGCCUAGUGGUUAGAGUGUAGAGGAGGUAGGUAGCCUAGUGGUUAGAGUGUAGAGGAGGCAGGUAGCCUAGUGGUUAGAGUGUAGAGGAGGCAGGUAGCCUAGUGGUUAGAGUGUAGAGGAGGCAGGUAGACUAGUGGUUAGAGUGUAGAGGAGGUAGGUAGCCUAGUGGUUAGAGUGUAGAGGAGGUAGGUAGCCUAGUGGUUAGAGUGUAGAGGAGGUAGGUAGCCUAGUGGUUAGAGUGUAGAGGAGGCAGGUAGUCUAGUGGUUAGAGUGUAGAGGAGGCAGGUAGUCUAGUGGUUAGAGGAGGCAGGUAGCCUAGUGGUUAGAGUGUAGAGGAGGCAGGUAGCCUAGUGGUUAGAGUGUAGAGGAGGCAGGUAGUCUAGUGGUUAGAGUGUAGAGGAGGCAGGUAGACUAGUGGUUAGAGUGUAGAGGAGGCAGGUAGUCUAGUGGUUAGAGUGUAGAGGAGGCAGGUAGUCUAGUGGUUAGAGUGUAGAGGAGGCAGGUAGCCUAGUGGUUAGAGGAGGCAGGUAGACUAGUGGUUAGAGUGUAGAGGAGGCAGGUAGACUAGUGGUUAGAGUGUAGAGGAGGCAGGUAGUCUAGUGGUUAGAGUGUAGAGGAGGCAGGUAGUCUAGUGGUUAGAGUGUAGAGGAGGCAGGUAGUCUAGUGGUUAGAGUGUAGAGGAGGCAGGUAGCCUAGUGGUUAGAGGAGGCAGGUAGUCUAGUGGUUAGAGUGUAGAGGAGGCAGGUAGUCUAGUGGUUAGAGUGUAGAGGAGGUAGGUAGCCUAGUGGUUAGAGGAGGCAGAGGAGGCAGGUAGUCUAGUGGUUAGAGUGUAGAGGAGGUAGGUAGACUAGUGGUUAGAGUGUAGAGGAGGUAGGUAGCCUAGUGGUUAGAGUGUAGAGGAGGUAGGUAGACUAGUGGUUAGAGUGUAGAGGAGGCAGGUAGACUAGUGGUUAGAGGAGGCAGGUAGACUAGUGGUUAGAGUG